AACGCAAAAGAUAUCAAGUACCAGUUUAUGGUGAGACAACAUGGCAUGCGAUACCUUGCCUGGUCCGAAGAAGUUCCCUUGACCCUUCAAGAAAUCGCAAAACCAUACGAUUUUGAACCAAAACGAGCAAGCUUCGAGGUAUGGAAACGAUGAAAAUCAAGUGGAAACAAGAGAAGACCCACAUCACCUAAUUUGUCACCCGACCCCGACUCGACAUCUACACAAGUAGGCCUACCAGUGACAACGUGAAUCUAUAUACACCUCAUAAACAAGAGGUUCACUUUGGGGAUUUGCAGAAAUAGUUGAAGAAUCAGAGAAAAGUUAUUCCAUCUUGUGUUGUCGAGGUGAUUCAUGAAAGAUUUCCAUCUGAUGUAUGUAAUGUUUUUCUCUAUGCUCAUUAAAAUAAACUUUUUUCAUUGAAA
rnacentral:lncRNA from 1 species